GGUGGGGUUCCCGAGCGGCCAAAGGGAGCAGACUGUAAAUCUGCCGUCAUCGACUUCGAAGGUUCGAAUACUUCCCCCACCACCA
rnacentral:tRNA from 1 species